CUACACCCACUACCCGCCUGGGAACUACGAGCAUCAGCUUGAAACCCAAAGGACUUGGCGGUGCUUUAGAUCCACCUAGAGGAGCCUGUUCUAGAACCGAUAACCCCCGUUCAACCUCACCUUUCCUUGUCUUUCCCGCCUAUAUACCGCCGUCGUCAGCUUACCCUGUGAAGGUUUAAUAGUAAGCAAAAUUGGUACAACCUAAAACGUCAGGUCGAGGUGUAGCGUAUGGGAAGGGAAGAAAUGGGCUACAUUUCCUACCACAGGAAAUACGAAUGAUGCACUGAAAUGUGUAUCUGAAGGAGGAUUUAGCAGUAAGCAGGAAAUAGAGCGUCCCGCUGAAAUUGGCCCUGAAGCGCGCACACACCGCCCGUCACUCUCCCCAAGCCUACCAACUAAAAUAACUAAAAUCUUAUAACCGCGAAGGGGAGGCAAGUCGUAACAUGGUAAGUGUACCGGAAGG
rnacentral:rRNA from 1 species